CAGUCGCCGCGGGAAUACGUAGGUGGCAAGCGUUGUCCGGAAUUAUUGGGCGUAAAGGGCUCGCAGGCGGUUUCUUAAGUCUGAUGUGAAAGCCCCCGGCUCAACCGGGGAGGGUCAUUGGAAACUGGGAAACUUGAGUGCAGAAGAGGAGAGUGGAAUUCCACGUGUAGCGGUGAAAUGCGUAGAGAUGUGGAGGAACACCAGUGGCGAAGGCGACUCUCUGGUCUGUAACUGACGCUGAGGAGCGAAAGCGUGGGGAGCGAACUGGAUUAGAUACCCCUGUAGUCCCUGUCUCUUAUAC
rnacentral:rRNA from 1 species